UGCAUGUUCAGUGUGAGUACAAAUUAACAAUGAAUACAGUAAGCAGGUCCUGCAAUAAAGCCGUCAAGAAAAUUUGAAUUGGCACUGGAAAAUGAGGGUAUAGUGGAUAGGGACAGAAAUGUUAACUUGCAACAGGCCACUUUCGGACCCCGAAAUAGUUUUUGCAACGGUUCUGAAUUUGCAGACAUUGGAUUUCACGUCCCCGUUCCGACCAGACGUGACUGCGUAUUUGUACAUCCCGCAGAGCCAAACAGUCGCUCCACUUCAACAAGGCUGGAAGAAGAC
rnacentral:lncRNA from 1 species